UACGUAGGGGGCAAGCGUUGUCCGGAAUUAUUGGGCGUAAAGAGCGUGUAGGCGGUCCGGUAAGUCAGCUGUGAAAGUCAAGGGCUCAACCCUUGAAUGCCGGUUGAUACUGUCGGGCUAGAGUCCGGAAGAGGCGAGUGGAAUUCCCGGUGUAGCGGUGAAAUGCGCAGAUAUCAGGAGGAACACCCAUAGCGAAGGCAGCUUGCUGGGACGUUACUGACGCUAAGGCGCGAAAGCGUGGGGAGCGAACAGG
rnacentral:rRNA from 1 species